rnacentral:rRNA from 1 species
CCUACGGGUGGCAGCAGUGGGGGAUAUUGCACAAUGGGGGAAACCCUGAUGCAGCGACGCCGCGUGUGGGAAGACGGUCCUCUGGAUUGUAAACCACUGUUCCCAGGGACGAAGAUGACGGUACCUGGGGAGGAAGCUCCGGCUAACUACGUGCCAGCAGCCGCUGUAAUACGUAGGGAGCAAGCGUUGUCCGGAAUUACUGGGUGUAAAGGGAGCGUAGGCGGGAUGGCAAGUUGGGUGUUAAAUCUACCGGCUCAACUGGUAGUCGCACUCAAAAAUGCUAUUCUAGAGUGAAGUAGAGGCAAGCGGAAUUCCAAGGGUAGCGGUGAAAUGCGUAGAUAUUAGGAAGAACACCAGUGGCGAAGGCGGCCUGCUGGGCUUGUACUGACGCUGAGGCUCGAAAGUGUGGGGAGCAAACAGGAUUAGAUACCCCAGUAGUC